rnacentral:misc_RNA from 1 species
UUAAGUUCAGCGGGUAGUCCUACCUGAUUUGAGGUCAAGUAUUCAAAAAGUUAGUCUCACAAAGUAGAGACAAUUAGAAGCUGAACAACACAGAGAGCAAUCCCCUCGCCAGUGUAGAUAAUUUAUCACACUUGUGGCAGAUCGCAAACGGUUCCGCUAAUGCAUUUCAGAGGAGCUGACCUCAAACGAGCGGCCAGCAA